CGUAGGGUGCGAGCGUUAAUCGGAAUUACUGGGCGUAAAGCGUGCGCAGGCGGUUUGUUAAGAUAGGCGUGAAAUCCCCCGGGCUCAACCUGGGAACUGCGCUUAUGACUGGCAAGCUAGAGUACGGCAGAGGGGGGUGGAAUUCCACGUGUAGCAGUGAAAUGCGUAGAGAUGUGGAGGAACACCAAUGGCGAAGGCAGCCCCCUGGGUCGAUACUGACGCUCAUGCACGAAAGCGUGGGUAGCAAACAGGAUUAGAUACCCUGGUAGUCCACGCCCUAAACGAUGUCAACUAGGUGUUGGGAGGGUAAAACCUUUUAGUACCGGAGCUAACGCGUGAAGUUGACCGCCUGGGGAGUACGGCCGCAAAGGUUA
rnacentral:rRNA from 1 species